GACGAACGCUGGCGGCGUGCCUAAUACAUGCAAGUAGAACGCACAGUUUAUACCGUAGCUUGCUACACCAUAGACUGUGAGUUGCGAACGGGUGAGUAACGCGUAGGUAACCUGCCUGGUAGCGGGGGAUAACUAUUGGAAACGAUAGCUAAUACCGCAUAAUAUUUAUUAUUGCAUGAUAAUUGAUUGAAAGAUGCUAUUGCAUCACUACCAGAUGGACCUGCGUUGUAUUAGCUAGUAGGUGAGGUAACGGCUCACCUAGGCGACGAUACAUAGCCGACCUGAGAGGGUGAUCGGCCACACUGGGACUGAGACACGGCCCAGACUCCUACGGGAGGCAGCAGUAGGGAAUCUUCGGCAAUGGACGAAAGUCUGACCGAGCAACGCCGCGUGAGUGAAGAAGGUUUUCGGAUCGUAAAGCUCUGUUGUAAGAGAAGAACGGGUGUGAGAGUGGAAAGUUCACACUGUGACGGUAUCUUACCAGAAAGGGACGGCUAACUACGUG
rnacentral:rRNA from 1 species